rnacentral:rRNA from 1 species
UGGGGAAUAUUGGACAAUGGGGGGAACCCUGAUCCAGCCAUGCCGCGUGUGUGAAGAAGGCCUUAUGGUUGUAAAGCACUUUAAGCGAGGAGGAGGGUACUGGUAUUAAUACUACCAGGUACUGGACGUUACUCGCAGAAUAAGCACCGGCUAACUCUGUGCCAGCAGCCGCGGUAAUACAGAGGGUGCAAGCGUUAAUCGGAAUUACUGGGCGUAAAGCGCGCGUAGGUGGUUCGUUAAGUUGAAUGUGAAAGCCCCGGGCUCAACCAGGGAACUGCAUCAAAAACUGGCGAGCUAGAGUAGGGCAGAGGGUGGUGGAAUUUCCUGUGUAGCGGUGAAAUGCGUAGAUAUAGGAAGGAACACCAGUGGCGAAGGCGACCACCUGGGCUCAUACUGACACUGAGGUGCGAAAGCGUGGGGAGCAAACAGG